GAGCAAACUUGCAUCUGCGCCUGCCGCCAGAAGGUAUGCUGAGGGUAGUCACUCCCUGGUGCUGUGCUCCUUGAGGUUAUCUACUGGGACAUCUGGAGCCUACUGUUCAAAUAAUGCAGUCAUGCAGGCCUGCACUAAGUCAAGCAGCUGACCACAACCAUCCCCUUCUCCCUAUCUCCUUUACUCAAUAAAUAUGAAGGACUCUAAAAGCUCAGGGCCCUUGCUCACUAGAAGCAAGGAGCCCCCUGACCCCCUUCUUCCAAACAUACUCUUUAGUUUUGUCUUUAUUCCCGCCUUGGUCCUCCUUUGUUCAGUCCAGCAAGGUCCACAGCAAAGUGGUGCCCGAAAACAGGGACUUGAGGACAUGAAUGAAGAAGGUCUGCUGGAGCAGAGGAAGUGAAAUUGACCAGAUGAACAGGGACCCUGGGAUGAAUCUGCUGGCAGUGGAUAUAAGAUGGAGCCUCGCUCUGUCACCAGACUGGAGUGCUGUGGCGUGAUCACGGCUUACUGCAACCUCUGCCUCCCAGAUUCAAGCAGUUCUCCUGUCUCAGCCUCCUGAGUAGCUAGGACUACAGGCGUGUGCCACCAUACCCAGCCUUUAUACCCAAGAGAAAUUCAGCUGGACACCAGUAACGUAAGUGCUAUUUAUUGAAAAGAGCAAAGAAAGAGUGCUGACCCCUUAGGGACAGGAUGAAACAAAACAAGCUCUGCAAGUCUGCCUCCUGCUCAGCAUACAGGCUUGUUGCCCCACUGGGCCAUCUUGUUGUUGAUGGGCAUCUUGAAGAACUGAUCAGACUGUAUGUAGGCAGCGAUUUUCUCCAAAGCCUGAAAGGAAAAUACACCAAAUCUUAUAAAGACCCCAACCCAGUCCAACAGAUGCAUACCAGAACAGCAACAUUCACGUGUUGCCUGCGUCUACCUCCUCCAUUUUUUGUAGACAGUGCCUUCAAGGUAUAGAAGUCAGGCUCUUCCCAAGACUUAAAGGUUUAGAGGUGUCCAACCAUUGAUCCCUUUAGGCAAAAGCCGGGGAAGAAUCCUCCACAAUGGGAUCCUGCAGGUCCCAGGGGAGCUGUGAGUGUUUUUAUAAGAGAAAGGUGCAGGAAACGUCACCUCAAAACGGCACAUGAAAGCCUUCAGGUUUGGGAACUCAUCCAGGCACUUGGGGUCAAAUAUACGGUUCUGAUCCAAGAUAUCAUAGGUGAGAAAAUCCACAAAGGUGAGCUAGAAGAAAAGCAAUAAGAUGCUUAGGUCUGAGGAGUAGUAGCCUGCAGAGAUAGAGAGAUAUCCUCUUCUUUUCCCUUCUUCCUACCUUUUCCCCGGCAAACCAUGAGAAUUUCCCCAGAAACAUGGAGAAUUGUUUCAGUUGUCCAGGUAGCUCUUCCAAGUACUGAGGCUUCAGUUUUUCCUGAGAGGAAAAAACAGAAUGAGAAUAGUGGUGAUCAUCUUUGUAGUUAAUCAGGGGCACAGGCCAGUGAUGGACAUUUAGUAGCCCCUUCUCUAGGUGGGUUCUCAUUGCCUUCACUUGAGGAUGGCAGGGUGGGGAAGGAGGAGUUUGGAAAGAAGAGGCACCAGCACCAGAAUUACAUGACAAAACAAACCAAAAAAUAUAAGUUCUGUUUCUUAUUCUAACAAUCUGGGUUGGUGGGAAGGUAGCAGCAGCAGAAUGGAACAGAGAUAACCCUUGGGUUCCUAAAUACCCCUUUUUCUGAUACUCCAUUCAGCAGAUGUGUGCUAAGGAAACUCACGUGGUCGGAGCUGUAACAGAGCCUUAUCAGUUGUGUGCGGAAAUCCAUUACUUGGUUCUCUAUGAUGUCCACUCGAAUCUUUUCUUCUUCAGUCUCACCACCUGUAGGCCAAAUGACAACAAAUCACCCUUGGCAUCAUCCACUCUCAGACAAACUACCAGCCUGGGGUCCCUCACCAGCCCUACCCCACUCACACAUGUUGUGCUUGCGAGCGAUGUAGCGCAAGAUGGCAUUGCUCUGGGUGAUCUUGUUCUUCCCAUCCAGGAGGUAGGGCAGCUGAAAGGAAAAGGACGGGACAAAUGAACAACCUACCUCUCUCUUGAUUCCCUACCUGUCUCUCCUGGGGAAAAGAUCACUUGCAGGGCAGUGAACGAGAGAGAAGAUGCUGUGUUAGGAGAAAAAAGAAAAUAAGUAGAAGGUAGCAACUGGGUCCACAAGAUUCUAGACAGCGGUUCUUAAAUUGGUGUGUGUAUGUGUGGGUGUAUGUGCAUGCCAUGGACCUUUUCUCAGAAUAAAGUUGUUAAAUGCAUGAAGCAAAAUAGAUAAUUUACACAAUUAAAAAAUAUUUUUAAAAAUUCAAA